rnacentral:misc_RNA from 1 species
UUUCCUUUACACGCUCAGCA